rnacentral:rRNA from 1 species
AUUGAACGCUGGCGGCAUGCUUUACACAUGCAAGUCGAACGGUAACAGGCCGCAAGGUGCUGACGAGUGGCGAACGGGUGAGUAAUGCAUCGGAACGUGCCCAGUCGUGGGGGAUAACUGCUCGAAAGAGCAGCUAAUACCGCAUACGAUCUAUGGAUGAAAGCGGGGGACCGUAAGGCCUCGCGCGAUUGGAGCGGCCGAUGUCAGAUUAGGUAGUUGGUGGGGUAAAGGCUCACCAAGCCAACGAUCUGUAGCUGGUCUGAGAGGACGACCAGCCACACUGGGACUGAGACACGGCCGAGACUCCUACGGGAGGCAGCAGUGGGGAAUUUUGGACAAUUGGGGAAACCCUGAUCCAGCAAUGCCGCGUGCAGGAAGAAGGCCUUCGGGUUGUAAACUGCUUUUGUACGGAACGAAACGGUCUGGGUUAAUACCCUGGGCUAAUGACGGUACCGUAAGAAUAAGCACCGGCUAACUACGUGCCAGCAGCCGCAGUAAUAC